UACAGAGGUCUCAAGCGUUGUUCGGAUUCAUUGGGCGUAAAGGGUGCGUAGGUGGUGAUGCAAGUCUGGUGUGAAAUCUCGGAGCUUAACUCCGAAAUUGCACCGGAUACUGCGUUGCUCGAGGACUGUAGAGGAGAUCGGAAUUCACGGUGUAGCAGUGAAAUGCGUAGAUAUCGUGAGGAAGACCAGUUGCGAAGGCAGAUCUCUGGGCAGUUCCUGACACUGAGGCACGAAGGCCAGGGGAGCAAACGGG
rnacentral:rRNA from 1 species